CUAGGAGCAACUCAAGAGGCCUCAAGCGGAGAAAGAUCCUAUCAAAUACGACGACAUUUUAGACGUCUGAUCUAUGAGUCUGACGUCUAUAUAGACGUCUGACCUAUAUAGCCCGACGUCUAUGUAGAUGUCUGACCUAUGGGGUCCGACGUCUCAUUUAACGUCACUCGAAUAGACAAUGGUUCGGGAUCUGACGUUAAAAGCCCAAAAUAACCGACAUUAAACAGCGUUUUUCCACUAGUGCUAUCUUCUUAUUCCCUCUUUUUCUUCCUCUUCUCUCCUCUCUUCCUCUUCCUUUCUUUAUCUCUUCUUAUUUUCUUUGUUUCUUCCUCUUCUCUUCUAACUUGUUCUCUUCUCGCUCUUGCUUCCUCUCUUUUUCUCUCUUGUUCUCUCUUUCUCUCUCUUUCUCUUCUUUUUUCUUCUUCUCGUUGUCUCUCUUUUCUUCUCUCUUGUUUCUCUAUUCUUUCUUGUAGUUCUCUUUGUUCUCUCUCCUUGUCUAUUUUACUUCCCUCAUUCAAGAACUUCAUGAGUUUAUCUCUAAAUUCUCUCUCCUAACAAUAAAAUCCACUUAAACUAUUAAUGAAUGAUCUACCCUCUUGAAUGAGUUCUCUUAAAAGCUCUUGAUUUCUCUUAUUCUUUUGUUCCUCUUGCAUGACUCUAAGUUCAUUUUGGAUAAUUGAGGUUUGCAUCCCCUAUUAAACCUAUCUUGAUUCAAGCUUUCUUCCAAAUUCCCAAUCUGUUUCAUUAUUUUACUAAGAGUAUGUUGCUUCUCAAAUUCACUAAUCCUAUGACUAGACAUCCUUUGUUCUUAAAAGUUCUUCUAAUCUAAAGAGUUUAAAGAUUGCUUUUAAAAACAAAGCACUAGGGUUGCUUAAAUACCAAAUCUUGCCUUAGCCAGAUAUGUCUUAUGCUACUCACUAGAUACCCUUUAAAGUAAAAUUACUUUUAAAAACAAAGCACAUAUGACUCACACACAAACAAAAACAUGCGGACUCUAAACGGACUCUAAUUAUCCUACGCCCCUAAACGAAACACAAAGUAAAGCAAUGUUAAAAUCUACUCCUAGGGUGCCAAGACUUGAAAGAGCACCAAGGACUCUUCCAAACUUGGACUUUUUAUAGUGGCCCUUUUACAAAACAAUGCUAAAGCUAAACAGUGGACUAAACAUAAGCCCAUUACAAAUACAAGGAAAGAAAAAUUACAAUAGAACUUAAUCCUAUCUACGGUGCUACGGUCUUUUGGUGCCCACAUUCACGUGCUCCAUUUUUCUGUUAUGGCCCAAUGUUGUCAACGUUCCGGUCCGAGUUCAAUCAGCUUCUUGCUUCAUCUUGCACGAGUUCUUCAAGUGUCCAUGUUUCUUUCAAUUCUCGAAUUUAAAUCACGAAACUGUCUGGUUCCAAUCAUGCAAACACAAAAGGAUCUAACUGUUGUCACUUACACCCU
rnacentral:lncRNA from 1 species